AACAGAAGACUGUUGUAGCAUGGCAUGGGACCCGAAGCCCCUCGAGGGAUAAUACAGGCUCUCCCAUCCAACUCCUAUUCCGGCACGUCCUCGUCGUGCAGAGUGGUAACAAGAACCUUGAAACAACUUGAUGACGCUCUAGCCACACUGAGCAUG
rfam:Anopheles quadriannulatus strain QTAD4_A unplaced genomic scaffold supercont1.41, whole genome shotgun sequence.